CUGUAUUCUUCACUUAAAGUGGACUGAGUAGAGAGGAGAGAAGAUUGCAUCUUUGAUUUGAGGAGCAGAAGGCUUCUUUCCUGCAGAGAUGGAGCCUUUCACAACAACAUUCCAAAAUCUUUCUCAGAGGGCAACGAUUCACUCUUAAAGCACAAGUCCUCUGCAGUUGCUGUGCUGCAGAGAUUCUACUGAAAGAUAUUGCUAGGAUAUAAUAUGAUACACAGCACAGCAGGGUGCAGUCUGCUUGCCAUGCCAAAUACAUCUUGCAGCAGACAAGAGCUUUAAAGGAUAUGCCCAUGAGGGACUACUAAAUGAAUGCAACUGGAGAGGCAAGUACCAGAAACAGCUUUAUUCUAAAGCUGCAAUGUAAACUAAACAUACAUGAGCAGUAGCUGACAUUAAGACAAGCAAAGAAUAAUUUGGUUUUCUAUGGAAUAGACAAUAUAAUGAAAAGGUGUAAGAGAUGGUGUCCAUCAUCAGCGUUCAACAAAUAAACUAUUUCCUCAACUACA
rnacentral:lncRNA from 1 species